rnacentral:tRNA from 1 species
GCUCGGGUGAUGGAAUGGCAGACAUGCGGGUCUUAGAAGCCCGUGACGCAAGUCGUGUGGGUUCGAGUCCCACCCCGAGCA